CGCGUAGGCGGUUUGAUAAGUCAGAUGUGAAAGCCCACGGCUUAACCGUGGAAGUGCAUUUGAUACUGUCAGACUUGAGUACCAGAGGGGAAAGUGGAAUUCCCGGUGUAGAGGUGAAAUUCGUAGAUAUCGGGAGGAAUACCGGUGGCGAAGGCGACUUUCUGGCUGAGUACUGACGCUGAGGCGCGAAAGCGUGGGGAGCAAACAG
rnacentral:rRNA from 1 species